rnacentral:rRNA from 1 species
GACGAACGCUGGCGGCGUGCCUAAUACAUGCAAGUAGGACGCAGUUGCGAACGAGUGAGUAACGCGUAGGUAACUGCCUAUGACAGGGGGAUAACUAGUGGAAAAGAAAGCUAAUACCGCAUACUAGUAGAUGGACCUGCGUUGUAUUAGCUAGUAGGUAGGGUAAUGGCCUACCUAGGCGACGAUACAUAGCCGACCUGGGAGGGGUAACGGGCACAAUGGGAACGAGACAAGGCCCAGACUCCUAAGGGAGGCCGCAGUAGGGGAUUUUCGGGAAUGGGGGGAAACCUGACCGGGCAACGGCGGGUGAGGGAAGAAGGUUUUCGGAUCGUAAAGCUCUGUUGUUAAGGAAGCGGUACUUAACCAGAAAGGGACGGCUAACUACGUGCCAGCAGCCGCGGUAAUUC